AAGUCGUAACAAGGUUUCCGUAGGUGAACCUGCGGAAGGAUCAUUCAUAAUAAAAGUGUUUAUGGCACUUUUAAAACAAUCCAUAUCCACCUUGUGUGCAAUGUUUUCUUAAUCUUAACGCUUUAUUUUUAUUUAUUUUGUCUGAAAUAUUUUUAUGAAUUUUUACUUAAUUCAAAAAAUAUAACUUUCAACAACGGAUCUCUUGGCUCUC
rnacentral:misc_RNA from 1 species